AGUGGGGAAUAUUGCGCAAUGGGGGCAACCCUGACGCAGCCAUGCCGCGUGAGUGAAGAAGGCCUUCGGGUUGUAAAGCUCUUUCAGAUGUGACGAUGAUGACGGUAGCAUCAGAAGAAGCCCCGGCUAACUUCGUGCCAGCAGCCGCGGUAAUACGAAGGGGGCAAGCGUUGUUCGGAAUCACUGGGCGUAAAGAGUUCGUAGGCGGUCUUGCCAGUCAGAGGUGAAAGCCCAGGGCUCAACCUUGGAACUGCCUUUGAUACUGCAAGACUAGAAUCCGUGAGAGGGUGGUGGAAUUCCCAGUGUAGAGGUGAAAUUCGUAGAUAUUGGGAGGAACACCAGUGGCGAAGGCGGCCACCUGGCGCGGUAUUGACGCUGAGGAACGAAAGCGUGGGGAGCAAACAGGAUUAGAUACCCUGGUAGUCCACGCCGUAAACGAUGAGUGCUAGAUGUCGGGGUUCAUGUACCUCGGUGUCGCAGCUAACGCAUUAAGCACUCCGCCUGGGGAGUACGGCCGCAAGGUUA
rnacentral:rRNA from 1 species